AACGAACGCUGGCGGCAUGCCUAACACAUGCAAGUCGAACGAGACCUUCGGGUCUAGUGGCGCACGGGUGCGUAACGCGUGGGAAUCUGCCCUUGGGUUCGGAAUAACAGUUGGAAACGACUGCUAAUACCGGAUGAUGACGUAAGUCCAAAGAUUUAUCGCCCAGGGAUGAGCCCGCGUAGGAUUAGCUAGUUGGUGGGGUAAAGGCCUACCAAGGCGACGAUCCUUAGCUGGUCUGAGAGGAUGAUCAGCCACACUGGGACUGAGACACGGCCCAGACUCCUACGGGAGGCAGCAGGGGGGAAUAUUGGACAAUGGGCGAAAGCCUGAUCCAGCAAUGCCGCGUGAGUGAUGAAGGCCUUAGGGUUGUAAAGCUCUUUUACCCGGGAUGAUAAUGACAGUACCGGGAGAAUAAGCCCCGGCUAACUCCGUG
rnacentral:rRNA from 1 species